GUGCUCACUUGGACAGCACAUGCACUAAACUAUGAAGAUGCAGAGAAGAGAAACAUGGCCCCUGACAAGGAUGACACACAAAAUCAUGAAGUGCUCAGUAUUUAA